CUAGUUUCAGGUGUUUAUUUUACUCUUGCAACGUUAGGUUAGUCCACACCAGGCCAGAGAGACCGUAACACUCAGAUUGACAAGUGCAAUAUUUUACCCCGUCUUGACUAAACUUUGAACAUGAAGUAGUUACAAGAAGUCUACCUGGGUUUGUCAAUGAAGAUGGAAAUAUACCCCAUGGGAGCUUUUUCUUGAAAUUAAGCUCACAGCAUUUUUAAGAAUGGAAUGGGACGUCUUUACAUUUUUCAAAGCAGACGUCAUCAUGGCCCGUGUAUACAAACAUGAAACAAGCAGGGGUCUAACCCCCCUUGAGAGCAGCCAAGAAAGUGAGAGAAGAGAAGAAGUCCAUUCGGCAGCAGCAAGGGAUGAAAAAAUAGACUGAAUGACACUGAAGAGGCGAGGUGGUUCCUGGUCUCCUAACUGAUGCUGUCCCCAACGACACACCUCCACCCCCUUGGACAUCGAGCGGAGCCCGUUGUACGCUGUCAGAUCCCUACUGGACUCCCAACAUCAUGGGGGUCGGUUCCAGUAUCUGGUGGACUGGGAGGGGUAUGGUCCAAAGGAGUGGCAUUGGAUUCCGGUGGAGGACAUUCUGUACCCCAACAUCAUCCAUGAAUUCCACCUUUGCCACUCGGACCGACCCACUCCUCAUCCUCGGGGUCGUCCCCUUGGUUGGUGUCGUCCUUCGGCUGGAGCCGCACAUCAGAGUGGGUUACUGUCACAUCUGCUCCUCCCCUCUGGCAUAUGACGUCGCCAGAGUACUAACCACCGUUCCUGGGAUUCAUCAUUACGCACACCUGGCACUCAUUAUGCACACCUGUAAAUCAUUAAGAUUCACACCUGGACUCCCUUACCUUCAUUUCCUCCCCUUUAUGUCACACUCCCAUGUUCACUCAGCAGUUGGUAUUGUACUUGUGUAUCGGUGUACUGCCUUAUGUUAGUGUCUUGUUCUUGCUUUUGUUGUUUUAUUAAAACGUUGCACCUGC